rnacentral:misc_RNA from 1 species
UUUCCGUAGGUGAACCUGCGGAAGGAUCAUUACUGAGUUGUCAUGGGGUUAGAUGCUGGCAGCCAGUUUUUGGAUGCAUGUGCUUGCCCUAACAAUCAUCUUCUUCCAAACACCUGUGCACAUUUUUGAGGGAGUCUUGAGUUGGUUGCCGCUCUUGGGUGAUUUUCUCACAUUCCCUUAAAUCAUUAUACGCUAUUGACCAUGUUGAACCUGCUCUGUGCCGCAAGGCCAUUAAUAUAAUACAACUUUUAACAACGGAUCUCUUGGCUCUC